rnacentral:rRNA from 1 species
AACGAAAGAGGGAGGCAUGAGUAACACAUGCAAGUCGAACGAGACCUUCGGGUCUAGUGGCGCACGGGUGCGUAACGCGUGGGAACCUGCCCUUAGGUUCGGAAUAACUCCCCGAAAGGGGUGCUAAUACCGGAUAAUGUCUUCGGACCAAAGAUUUAUCGCCUUUGGAUGGGCCCGCGUUGGAUUAGCUAGUUGGUAGGGUAAAAGCCUACCAAGGCGACGAUCCAUAGCUGGUCUGAGAGGAUGAUCAGCCACACUGGGACUGAGACACGGCCCAGACUCCUACGGGAGGCAGCAGUGGGGAAUAUUGGACAAUGGGCGAAAGCCUGAUCCAGCAAUGCCGCGUGAGUGAUGAAGGCCUUAGGGUUGUAAAGCUCUUUUACCCGGGAUGAUAAUGACAGUACCGGGAGAAUAAGCUCCGGCUAACUCCGUG